ensembl:lncRNA
GUACGUUGGUGUGAGUGUUGAAAGCGGCUGCUGUGUGUGUGUGUGUGUGUGUGUGUGUGUGUGUGUGUGUGUGUGUGUGUGUAUGUUGUGUAUCACGCACUGUAUAUUGUGCCAUGGUCUAGGUUUAAUUUGAGUGCGCUCGGGUGGAUGGGCUUCCCACCCCGUAUUUGAGUGCACCCCGUUUUUGAGUGCACUUGGGCGGAUGGGUUUCCCUGCCCCGGACAGAUGCCUGUGAGUAGGUACUGGGUUCCUACUCCGAAUAGCCGUUUUCUUUUUGUUUUCUGUUUUUAGAUAGCAGAAGUGGGAACGCCCCAGCUCUGGGAGACGUUCCAAGAGCCGAAUAUUGUCGGGAGAACCUGGCAACUGACAGUCGAAAAGAUCUGACUGUGACUUGACUUUGGAGGUCCCGUUCGGCUGCCUAUUUAAGUAUAGGCACGGACAAGUGUGCUUAGAUGUGUUAGUGUCUGUUGUCUGUAUUCUGUUUCUGUGUUUGGUAUCCCAGAAGCAGCUAAGGUUAAGCUGCAGUUUGGACCAGGUACUGAAGGUACCAGGCAUCUGUGGAAAUUGGUUAUAGGAUGCUUUGUCUUGGUCUUGUUUGUCUGGUUUGUUUUCUGUGGUAUUGUCCAGUGUCUUUUUGGCUUUUGUUUCGUUUUUGGACUUGGACUGACAACUGUGUUUGAAAUCUUGGACUGACAACUGUGUUUGAAAUCAUGAAACUGUUUGCUUUGUUUGUCAAGGAGUUUUACUUGGUCCUCUUGGUGCUUAACUUAAAAGUUAAAAAUAAUUUGCUUGAGAGAAAUUGUUUUCUGCCGGGGAGUUUUAUCUUUCUCUCUUGAGCCUCCUCCCCAAGGAGAGCUGCCCCUCUCUUUACUCCCAUUGUCCAGCCCAGCUGCUGUUAACCGUUGUGUAUGAAGGACUCCCGGUUAGCGAGUGAUCCGUCUGAAACAGGCAUUAACAAGAACCUGAAAGCUUUACCUUAGAUCCUGAAGAAAAAUUCUCCCUGUUGCUUAAACAUUCACAGCUUCUAAGGAAGGGACAGCACAGAGUAGAAAAAUGUAGGGGCUGAGGGUGGCAAGCAUGCAGGCCUGCUAGCAAGCUACAGGCUGCGCAUGGGCAGCAGCGCAGCUCUGGCCAAGUCAGCGUAAGAGGAGUUUCAAGGUAAGGAGGCCGGCUGGGGUUGACGCUUUGACAACAAAAAGAUAGCAUAGAGUUAAUGGUUGUAUUAUGAGACUUUUGGCCCUGAAAAAAAAAAUUCCAGUUGCUGCCUUCAGUGGCCAGACCUUCAACACUUGCUCACAAAAGGAGAGUGUUCAUUAAGAGAAGUUCUUUAAGGGAGCCUGCUUUAUCUGCUGGCCCUAUUCCAAGAGAGGAGUUGAUCUCCAACAUUAAGUAACCUUCCCUGUUAGUCAUCAUUGACAUGGAGAGUGCCUUUGAUCCUAUCCCCACAGCAGCCAGUUCCUGCCCCUGUGGUCAAAAUGCCCCAGGUUGGGGGGCAGAGAAGCCCCUAAAAUAGUUUCAAAGAAUCUACAACAAACUGUGAAGAACUUUGUUUUGCCAGUCAAAAUUUAGAAUUCAGGCUUUGGCUGUGGUUAAGGUCAGGAUUAAUGUUUUCUUUUCCAUGGGCCUUUAACCCAGUGAGACAGCUUGGUGAAGGACUACUACUACAGUCCUGAUAGCCCCAGGUGAACUGGUUACAAUUCUUUUGUCAGCCACUUAGUAUCGAACACCCAGGUUCUAACCCUCUCUCCAUCCUUUUGUUAUUAGUUCUUACUAGAAGCCUAGUGUCCUUCAGAGGCUGGGUUUAUUGAGAGACAGAGCCACUGAGCUGGCACUGAAGGGAGGUACUUCUUAAGUAAAAUCUAAGUCCAGAGAGAUAGUCGAUAACAGAUCAGCUGCCUCUCUGCUUGCCUUUCUGUUUCACAGGAACAAAGCUUGUACUUAUUUCUACAACGGCCUUUUUGUCCCAAGAAGGCCUCCUGGUUUAGCUGUGUGACUAAAUGCUAUUUGUCCUCUUCAGUGGACCUCUAUUCUCAAGAUUCUCUUGUUUUCUCACCAUCCCAUCUGAGAUGCUUGUUAGUAACUGUUACAGAUCUUCUUUACCACUGAGGAAAGACGGAAUCCUACUAGAGGACAGAAAGAAUGUUCCAGACACAGAUGGAAGGCCCUCACUUCUGCCUGUUGACUUGAAUACCCCUGAAGUCACCAGUACUUUUAACAAGUGCAAAUGUGGAGAGGGGCAGUCCUCCUGGCUCUCCUGCAGGCUACCAUAGAAGAGCACAAACUUCGAGGUCACAUAAUGUCACAGAAGCCACCUGAGAUGGAUGUCAUCAGAAGAAACUGUAGAGUCACUAAGCCACCAGGUUGAGCUGUUAUCAACAAAGCCCAUAGUCACUGUGUUUCCUACAAAUACCUUGGUUCUCCAAGGAAGGGCAAUCUCACUUGGCUUAGUGUUUAUCGCAUUGGACAUCAUUUUCCACCAAAACAGGCUGAGCAGAACAUCCCCUGAAACCCCUUUGCACAGAAUGGUUAUUUCCUUGGAGGGGGAGACAGAGCUUGGUCCCUGAGUCUCCAAAGUCACACAGCCAAGGUAAAGUGUAGCCAGGGUUUGGCGGUUUCUUGCAUUAGCAACAGCAUGUCUCUAAUUCUUGCCCAGUGUUAAAGUUGUACUGAUUCACUCCCCUAGAGAACAGGUGUGAUUCAGAAGGAUUGGAGGGGGAAAAUGGUACCUAAACACCUAAACUCGCUCUUAAAACUACACAUUUAAUCCAGCAAAGACAAGGAGAAAUGUCUGGAGAAAAAGCAGGGCCACACUGAGCAGACACAUGGAUAAAAGUGGGAGGGGCAAGGUGCCUGGGAGAGCCAUCAUUAGUUCUGAAACAGCUGCGUUUAUUCACUUUGCUUUUUACCCAUCGGAUCAAUACCACAUAAACGUGAGAGAAUGGGAGACAAGAGGAAAAGGAGAGGGAGGUCAUGCAAAACUUGAGAUUUAAGCUGAAGUUCUAGAAACUGGAAACUUCUACAGCUGACGCAUGUAAACCUGGUGUGUCUUUGGGUAGCUAUUACAAGGCUGGAGGAUGUCAAAGACAGCUCUGGAACACCAUGGUUCUCUUCUGUUUGUUUUCUCUACCGUAAACUUAAGUACCAGACAGAAAAUUGCUUGAUAAUAAACAUGUAUUAUCACAAAAUAUAA